UGAGGAACCUGCCCCGAAGACCGGGAUAACCCUCCGAAAGGAGAGCUAAUACCGGAUACCCCCACCGGACCGCAUGAUCUGGUGAGGAAAUGGAUUCCGCUUCGGGAGGGCCUCGCGGCCUAUCAGCUUGUUGGUGGGGUAACGGCCCACCAAGGCUUCGACGGGUAGCUGGUCUGAGAGGACGAUCAGCCACACUGGGACCGAGACACGGCCCUGACUCCUACGGGAGGCAGCAG
rnacentral:rRNA from 1 species